rnacentral:lncRNA from 1 species
CUUUUCAAAAAAUAAAAAAAAUAAAAAAAACAUAUUAUAUAUAUAUAUCAUCAAAUCAAAUCUAUAAUUUUGCCUCCUCCUUUUUGUAAAAGACAAACCAAGAAACUGUUGAAAAGAUAUACUGUAUCUAAUAUCGACGUUAAGUCCAUGAAACCCAUGAUUUGAUCUUAUUUUUCUCUUUGUAUUUCAAAUUUUCUGUAGUGGAGUUUGCUUUUACUCCUUAUAUUUUAUCCAAUAUCGUGAAAUAACUGCAGAGUAGAUUUUUCAUUUUUUGUCAAUUCACGAAUUUCUUUUCCCAUUUGGUUUAUCCUUCCACUUUUCUGUUUGUGUUCGUGUUUUUAUCUUGGGUUUUUAGAGCCAAAAUUUUGGGUUUUCGGAUUGGAAAAGUUGAAUUUGUGAAGAGGGAAGAAGGUGGCUGGUGCUUCUUGUUUCCAGAAGAAGAGAUCUUUUCUGCAGAGAAUCAGGUGAUAAUUCUUUCAGUUUACAAAUAUUUUUUAUUUUAUAUGGUAUGGUGUUUCUUGAUUGACUUUUAGAACUGAGCUAAUCUCCAUUUAUUGAGAAUUUUUAUAUGAUGGACAUGAAUUUGAUCAGUG